GAUGAACGCUGGCGGCGUGCUUAACACAUGCAAGUUGAACGAAGUGGCGGAUGGGCGAGUAACACGUGAGGAACCUGCCUUUCCCAGGGGAAUAACACUGGGAAACCAGUGCUAAUACCGCAUAGUGAAAGAUGGCCUCGCGCGUGAUUCGCUAGUAGGUGAGGUAACGGCUCACCUGGGUGAUGAUCAGUAGCCGGACUGACGGAUGCUCGGCCGCAAUGGGACUGGGACACGGCCCAGACUCCUACGGGAGGCAGCAGUGGGGAAUAUUGGGCAAUGGCGCAAGCCUGACCCAGAACCGCAGCGGGAAGGAAGACGUUCUUCGGAUUGUAAACUUCUUUAGACAGGGCCGCGUUACCUGUAGAAUAAGCCACGGCUAACUACGUGCCAGCAGCCGCGGUAAUAC
rnacentral:rRNA from 1 species